rnacentral:lncRNA from 1 species
GUUGCAGAUCUGUUGCGGUUGUUUGUUCGUGUGCAACAUUGUUUGGGUGCUUGCCGUCCUCGUUCGGUAUAAGCAAUCCUCCCCUCCCUCUCCACCUUUUCUGAUGGUGCUAUCGAUGGUGAUUGUGUGCGCUACAGAUCUGAUAAUGCUAUUUCUUCUGAGCUUAUGUCCAAGUCAAUGAUGUUUUCUCUUUUAAUCUGAGCAUAUGUCCA